AACUCAUAGUAAUUCAAAUUCUUCAAAGAGUCCUUGUACACAGUGAUGGCUGUUGGCAGGAAUGAUCUCCUGUAGCGGCCUAUGUUACAGCAAAUUUGAAGAAGCCUCUGACUGAAGACACUCUGUUUUUCUAGCACACUCAUCUCAUCUCACUGCCAUUCAAAGUAAAAGAAUAAUGUAUACAUUUUUAACGACAAAAAAAAAUGUCUUCACAAGAUUAUGUAAAAUUUUAUUGUUAAUUAUAUUUUGUAAAGAGCAUUAAAUCUUUGUCUCCCAGUAAUUUAUUGUUUUCUGCAAAAAAAAAAAAAAAAGAAAGAAAUAUCACAUGGGUUCCACGUUAGCAGAAAUGUAAGUUUUGUGGGUUUUUUUAAGAACUUCAGAAAUUGACGUAGUGCUGAUUAUGUUUUCAUCUGACGCAGUUUGUAGUUAGCUUAGGCUAAUGCUGACAUGUUGAUUCUGUUCUUCAAGCGCUUUUAAUCAUGAUUUAUACCUGAUUUUAAGUUGAAACAUUAUGAGACCAAAACACCCUAAAGUAAUUCGAUUGAUUGAUUGGUUUAUUUUAAAUGUUUCACAUCAUUUAGUUAUCGUCGUUUCCUCUUGCUCCAUUUCUCCCUCCCACAGCAACACAGAGCAAACUUUCAUGCCCACACAUAUAUCCUCAUAUCAACCCCACCCGAUACAUCUCUGACACAUGUGAAGCAGACUUCUACAGCAAAUUGAUUAUUUGCAUGUAGCCUAGCGCUCUCUCUGUGGCCUGCUGCACAGAUGUAUGGAUGGAUGUAUUUCUUCCACAGAGAGAGAGAGAGAAUCAAAGAGCUGGAGCAGCAGGAGCCGUCUUUCAGAAUGACAGAGAAGUCAAAAGCCGGGAUUUUACUUGAACUGUGCCGAAGCAGCUGACACUUUAUGAGGUUUUGCCGCAAAAGCUGAGAUACAAAAUGAAUUUUUUAAAAAAAAUUCCUACCUAAGUGCGCUGCUUUCUGAAUAUUUUAAAACUAAUUUCUGGUCGCUGCAUGGGAAUUUGUUCAACUUCAAAGCAGAAUAUUCUGUGACAUCAUAUGUGUUGCUCUGUGUUGUUUCAUUUUGAAGACAAAGUUCUACAUUUGGAUCAAUUUUAUUUAUAGGUUCAGCCAUAAAAGUUAUGAAUUGGCCCCUGAUCAUCCAAUACACGACUGCUCUUCUCCCAGCCUUGUUAAUCGCUGUAGUGGUCAUAAGGACAGAUUAGCUUCCAAACAAACGUCCUUUCGACAGCAGCUCUGAGAUGAUUUCCUGUUCCUGGUUGCUAGGAGACAGACUCGUUUGCUACAACUUGAUCAGUCCGAGUGUGGACCAGAUUACAAAGAACCAUGUAGAGUUAAAGCUGUAAAGACUUAACACCUAAUGCAUAACGAUUAUCUUAACUAAGUUGUAGGUGCUGAUGGCUGUGGACAGGAAAGAUCACCUGUAGCAGUCUUUGUUACAGUGGUUUUGUAAAAGCAUCUGACUGAAGACCCUCUGUUCUUGUAUAGCAGUCUCAUGAAGAAGAUGCUCAGUGUUGGCCGCAAUGUUAUUGAUUUUAUGGCAAAUCCUCCUUUGCACAACAAUCUCCAGAGGAAUACAAAGAAGUCUAAGAGAUACGUCGAUAAAAAGUUGCUUUCCAAGUUAUUUCUGUCUUAUUUCCAGUGUACUGAGAUAUUUGCUCUAGAAACUGUGCUGGAAUGACUUGGUGAGAUUUUGUGUUUCUGCAGCGUCGGUCUGUCACAUGCAUAUCAUAAAACGCUCUGAAGUUAGUUCUGCAAAGUGG